GCUUCACUGAAAUCAAACUUUCAAGAGUCAUGGUCUUCUUUUUUUGUUUUGUUGUGAUUUUUUGUUUUAUUUUAAAGAAGAUCACAAAAAGAAAGCAGAAAAGGAAAGCCCAAAGACAAAAGAAAGAUAUUUAAACAACGGAGGAGACAUAUUGGAAUCCCUGGAGCUCAUCCUGUCAGAGUAUCCUUCCUAGAAGUCCUGUAUCUCCACCGCCAAAGUUCUCUGGAAGAAAUUACAACUUUAUGAUUCAUGAACACAAAGAGGACAAUCCUUUCACCUAUCUAUCUUAUAAAUGGGAUGGCUCUCUGGGAACAGCUAAACUUGAAAGAAAUUAUGGGAGAAAGUAUGCUUCAACCACAUAGUUGAAGCCACUCUUCAGUUUUUCCACACCAGAGGUCCCAAAGUCAAGCUACAUUCAAAAAGAUAAACAACAAAUUGGAUACCCAAGUUCUGAAGAGCCAGAAAUCCUUUAUAGGGUAGGACAUAUGCAGAUGAAACCCAACUAUUAAAAAAUCUCCUGCAGAAAAAAAUGUUUAUAUAUAUUUAUACACACAUAUAUAUGAUUAUUAAAAAUCAUACUCAUAAUACUUUAAGAAAACACUAUGAGUAUGACUCUGCUGUCAAUUAUACUUUGCCUUUAUUUCUGUAUUUAUGCUAUUAAUUCUUAUCUCUUUAUACCUUUAACUUUUCAUUCCCCCCACCCUAUGACUACAGAGCAAAAUUUUGA